rnacentral:sRNA from 1 species
CCUCGUCGAUCUGCUGCGGGCAGAUGAAGUGGAUGUGGCUGUCGAAGCCGCCGGCGGUGACGAUCUUGCCCUCGCCGGCGAUCGCCUCGGUGCCGGGGCCGACGAUGAUGGUCACGUCCGGCUGGGUGUCGGGAUUGCCGGCCUUGCCGAUGGCGGCGAUGCGCCCGUCCUUCAGCCCGAUGUCCGCCUUGUAGAUGCCGGUAUGGUCGAGGAUCAGCGCGUUGGUGAUCACCGUGUCCACCGCGCCGUCCGCCCGCGAAUGCUGCGACUGGCCCAUGCCGUCGCGGA